rnacentral:rRNA from 1 species
UACAGAGGGUGCGAGCGUUGUUCGGAAUUACUGGGCGUAAAGCGCGCGUAGGCGGCUUUUCAAGUCGGUUGUGAAAUCCCCGGGCUUAACCUGGGAACUGCAGUCGAGACUGUCUAGCUAGAGUAUGGGAGAGGGAAGUGGAAUUUCAGGUGUAGCGGUGAAAUGCGUAGAUAUCUGAAGGAACAUCAGUGGCGAAAGCGACUUCCUGGACCAAUACUGACGCUCAUGUGCGAAAGCGUGGGGAGCAAACAGG